GGAUAAGGAAAGUAAAAAAGGGCGCAUGGCGGAUGCCUUGGCUCUCGGAGGCGAUGAAGGACGUGAUAAGCUGCGAUAAGCUUUGGGGAGGUGCAAAUGACCUUUGAUCCAGAGAUUUCCGAAUGGGACAACCCAAUAUCUUGAAGAGGUAUUAUCUUACUAUGUAAGAGGCUAACGCAGGGAACUGAAACAUCUUAGUACCUGCAGGAAAAGAAAAUAAACAAUGAUUCCCCCAGUAGUGGCGAGCGAACGGGGAACAGCCCAAACCAUCCAUGUUACGGCAUGGGUGGGGUUGUAGGACUACGCCGUUGCAUGAAGACAUCAGAGAAGAACUUUCUGGAAAGAAAGACCAUAGAGCAUGACAGUUGCGUAUUCGAAUGUUGUCGAAGCAUAGUAGUAUCCUGAGUAGCGCGGAGCACGAGGAAUUCUGCGUGAAUCUGCCGGGACCAUCCGGUAAGGCUAAAUACUCCCGAGAGACCGAUAGCGAACCAGUACCGUGAGGGAAAGGUGAAAAGCACUUCGAACAGAAGAGUGAAAUAGUUCCUGAAACCGUGCGCCUACAAGCGGUCGGAGCUCGUUAAUGAGUGACGGCGUGCCUUUUGCAUAAUGAACCUACGAGUUGCCUUUGCCGGCAAGGUUAAGUGUGACGACACACGUAUCCGAAGCGAAAGCGAGUCUGAACAGGGCGUAUAGUCGGCAGUGGCAGACGCGAAACCAAGUGAUCUACCCUUGGCCAGGUUGAAGGCUGGGUAACACCAGCUGGAGGACCGCACCAAUAAGCGUUGAAAAGCUUCUGGAUGAGCUGAGGGUAGGGGUGAAAGGCUAAUCAAACUUGGAGAUAGCUCGUACUCCCCGAAAUGCAUUUAGGUGCAGCCUUGCGGGUUACUGAUGUGAGGUAGAGCGACUGAUAAGAUGCGAGGGCUUCACCGCCUAUCAAGUCUUGACAAACUCCGAAUGCGCAUCAGUUCUACCGCAGGAGUGAGGGCAUGGGUGCUAAGGUCCGUGCCCGAGAGGAGAAGAAUCCGGACCACCUGCUAAGGUCCCGAAAUGACAGCUAAGUUAAACUAACGAAGUCUGACUGCUAAGACAGCUAGGAUGUUGGCUUGGAAGCAGCCAUUCAUUUAAAGAGUGCGUAACAGCUCACUAGUCGAGGAGUCGGGCGUGGAUAAUAAUCGGGUAUCAAGUUGUCUACCGAAGCAGUGGGAUCAUUUAUAUGAUCGGUAGGGGAGCAUUCCAGUCAGCGUCGAAGGCGUACCGUGAGGUAUUCUGGAGCGUCUGGAAAAGCAAAUGUAGGUAUAAGUAACGAUAAAGGGGGCGGGAAACCCCCUCGCCGAAAGACUAAGGUUUCCUGAUCAACGCUAAUCGGAUCAGGGUCAGUCGGGUCCUAAGGCUCAGCCGAACGGCGAUGCCGAUGGCAGAAACGGUUAAUAUUCCGUUACUACCUUCAGGAGUGACGUGGAGACGCAGUAGUGACAGUGCCGCCAUCUGACGGAAUAGAUGGUUGAAGGGUGUAGGAGUCGAUCAUGGCAGGCAAAUCCACCAUGAGAUCCGAACCUGACAGUAUGCCGCGUCCUUCGGGACAAGGCAAUAGUGCGCGUAAGCAUGCUGCCGAGAAAAUCCGCUAAACUUAAUCCUGCAGGUACCCGUACCGCAAACGGACACACGUAGUCGGGAUGAAUAUUCUAAGGCGCUUGAGUGAUUCACGGUUAAGGAACUAGGCAAACUGACCCUGUAACUUCGGGAUAAAGGGUCCCUACCCUUUUAUGGGAGGGCGCAGAGAAUCGGUCCAGGCAACUGUUUAACAAAAACACAGGGCUGUGCCAAAUCGAAAGAUCCAGUAUACAGCCUGACACCUGCCCGGUGCUGGAAGGUUAAGAGGAGAUGUCAUCGAUAAGAGAAGCGUUGAAUUGAAGCCCCAGUAAACGGCGGCCGUAACUAUAACGGUCCUAAGGUAGCGAAAUUCCUUGUCGGGUAAGUUCCGACCUGCACGAAUGGUGUAAUGAUCUGGACGCUGUCUCAACCGUGAGCUCAGUGAAAUUGUAGUAUCGGUGAAGAUGCCGAUUACCCGCGAUGGGACGAAAAGACCCCGUGAACCUUUACUAUAGCUUAUCAUUGAAUCUGGGCACGUGAUGUGUAGGAUAGGUCGGAGGCUUUGAAGCAGGUACGCCAGUAUUUGUGGAGCCGCUGUUGAAAUACGACCCUUUAUUUGUUUGGAUUCUAACCCGUGGAACGGGGACAUUGAUUGGUGGGUAGUUUGACUGGGGUGGUCGCCUCCAAAAGCGUAACGGAGGCUUCUAAAGGUGCCCUCCGGCCGAUUGGUAACCGGCCUUAGAGUGUAAUGGCAUAAGGGCGCUUGACUGGGAGACUGACAAGUCGAUCAGGUAGGAAACUAGAGCAUAGUGAUCCGGUGUUUCCGUAUGGAAGGGACAUCGCUCAAAGGAUAAAAGGUACUCCGGGGAUAACAGGCUGAUCCCUCCCAAGAGCUCAUAUCGACGGAGUGGUUUGGCACCUCGAUGUCGGCUCGUCACAUCCUGGGGCUGGAGAAGGUCCCAAGGGUUGGGCUGUUCGCCCAUUAAAGUGGCACGCGAGCUGGGUUCAGAACGUCGUGAGACAGUUCGGUCUCUAUCUAUCGUGGGCGCAUGAAAUUUGCGUGGCUCUGACACUAGUACGAGAGGACCGUGUUGGACAGACCUCUGGUUUGCCGGUUGUGCCGCCAGGUGCAUUGCCGGGUAUCUAAGUCUGGAUCGGAUAAGUGCUGAAAGCAUCUAAGUACGAAGCCGGCCACAAGAUUAGAUUUCUCAGGGUCGUUGUAGACUACGACGUUGAUAGGAUGCAGGUGUAAAGAUGGAGACAUCAAAGCCGAGCAUUACUAAUUGCCCGUUCACUUUCCUUA
rnacentral:rRNA from 2 species